rnacentral:snRNA from 2 species
GUGCUCACUUCGGCAGCACACAUACUAAAAUUCGAAUGAUACAGAGAAGCUUAGCAUGGCCCCUGCACAAGUAUGACACGCAAAUUCGUGAAACGUUCCAUAUUUUU